ACCCUGCAGGGAGGGAAGCACCGGCGCCUGCUCCACUGGAGCCCCAGCCUGUCCCCACCCAGCAAUCUGAGGGGUACGGAGCGUCACGGGCUCAGAGAGGACGUCAACGCAACGGACGGCUGGACAAACGCCCUAGGUCUGAAAAGUCCCCACCAAGUGCUACUGAACCCAAUCUGGAGCACCUAGAGUGCCAGGCACCAUUCUGCCCUCCAGGAAGAUGAAACUACACAGGGCGCCUUUCGCUGCCAUGGUCCACUAGGCGCCAGCUAGCUACCCCACCAUGCACCGCGUGAGAUGUCCCGGAGGGUAGCCCAGAGCAUGCUGGGAGA